GUAAUUACUCAAGCCGUGUACUCACCAUAUCCGGAAAGAAAUUCAUUUAUCAGGUAAGCAUACAUUUUGUUUUUGGAGGAGCCAGUCUGUAAAAGUGAUGGGUGUAGUUUGGCCAUUAAAAAAUAUUUGCAGCAAAUGCUGUUCAGCUUUUUGAAACGUGCUCACAUUUUGACAUGUAGAUUUUUGAGAUACAAAAGUCUAACAAUUUGUGGAUUAGGAGUGUGCUUUUUUUUUUUUGCUUGUUUAAAUUCAAAGCUUCUUUAGAUCAUUGUCCACUAUAUCACAGUAUUAGUGGUAGGACUGUUUGGUUUCUGCUUUAGGUGUAUCUCAAUGGUCUUUUGUAUAUAAAAAACGGCAUAAUCAGCCCAACUCUGCUUGUCAAAUAGAUUUAUAUAAAUAUUUUGUUUCGGUUUAAUUUUUAUUUAUUUUCAGAAUCAGUAUAAUCUUGCAAGGGCACAGCAAUCCUACAAAUCGCUAGUACAGAUCCAUGAGAAGAAUGGUUGGUACACUCCUCCAAAAGAAGAUGGAUAAAUUGGAAGGCUUUUUGGACCAAGAUGCCACAUUUUUUUCCAAUUCUUUCCAGAGCAAAUAAGAUUGCCCUUCUGGUCCUCUGUACAGCAUACAUUAGCAACUAGAUAAUAGGAUUAUCAGACCUAAUUAUCAGUUUUGUAUAUUAGACCACGUCUGCUUCUCUUGAUAUGAGAUACAGCUGCCUUUACUGAUGGGGGAAAAAGGCCACUCCAAAUAUUUUAACUUCCUAUUUAAAUUGGGCGAUAUAGCUUAAUUUCAUCCAUUCCACUUUUAUUAGACUAUUGUAAAUUGCUUUCACAUUUAUUUGUUUUGUUUUUUUGUAUUUUUCUUUUGUAGGAUUUGGUCUGCAAAAAAAUUUGUAUAGUAUGGUUUCAUUUAAAGCUCAACAUCAUUAAGAAUGCAGUUUUAAAAUUGUUCAACAUAGAUGACUUUAGCUCUCAAAUAGUAAAACCAAUAAAUACAAAAUCAAAAUUGUAGAAUUGCCAAAUUUAACGAGGGAUGAGUAUAGCUUACAAAGCCAUUAAUUUCACUGUAUCAGAACAUGUAAGCUAUUUUAGGUUAUCUAAGUAUUUUUUUGUUUUAAUAAGGUAAGUUGAUGGCAGCCAUUGGCUUACAUUUAUAAUGGAAUUUCCCCUUCCAUUAAAGAUAAAUAUUUUUGGGAAUUUUUUUCCAGGAUUUAUGGAAGUUUUUGGGGUUGCCCAUUCUGUUUACUGAUAGUACUUGUGUGUCUGUGUGUUCCUGCUUAUCCCUUAACUCUUACUAAUGGGAAUGGGCGUAUAAGAUUAGAGGAAUACACACAAAUGCCAUGGUGACAAACAUUGUUUGGAAAUAUGCUUAUUUAAGGCUUGAUUUCAGAAAGUGUCAGCCAUUUUGUCUGAAUCUAUAAUCUGUCUUAAUGGGGGUUUUUUUUUUUUGAGGAUUCCUUCUUAGACAGGGCAGAAAAAGAGCACAUAGUUUCCAUGAUCACAUAGACCAUCUUUCACCCUCCCUCUCCUAGCUAAGUUGUACUUUUUGAUUAUUUCUCCAAGAGGGCAUCACUGAUGCUUUAAUUUAAUACUAGAAUUUUUUUCCGCCUAGUGUUGCAUUUUAUUAACGGGUUGUUGCAAUUGUUCUUUGAUCUAAUGCAAAGGAUUUGGAAUAUAAUCAAAAUAUCAAGUAGAACAGUUCAUUUAUUACAAACCAAGUUGACGUGAAAAACAGAUUUCUUGGUGAAUUAGACUGCUGCAGGUUCAUGAGCACAUUUAAUCACCGUAAUACUGUGCUCACAUAAUUUUCUGACACUUUCAGGCUUAUUAGUUUUAACACCUUGCCAGAUCACUUGUCUGUAUUUAGCUAAAGCUUGAAUAUUGCAAUGUAAAAAUUAAAAUAAGCUUGGAGAUCAAGCUAGUUAAUCGCUGUGGUGUGUUUAAUGGGGUAAAAUUUCCUGGUUAAGUGUGUGGUCUGUAAAUAAUAAAAUAAAAAAAAGUAAAAAAAAUAAAGAAUAAAUAGAUAUUGGCAUUCCCUCCUAAAAGGGGUGCAUGACAAAAUUGUUAAACACCUUUAAUAGGUUUCCUCUGAUCAGUUAAAUAAGGCUAGCCUAUUGAGAAAAUCAAGGUUAAGUUUCUCUGUGUUUUACUGUGUAUGCCAAUGAUAUUCAUACAUUGCAAGGCUGGGCACUUUUUAAAUACUGUGGCCCUCUUUUUGUAACUUAUAAGAUUAUUUUAUACAAAGAUUUAGCCCAUUUUACAUAACGCUGCCCCCUCCUGUCUUUUUUUGUUUUUGUUCCUUUUUGGCAUGCUGAUCAGAUUAACUUAUAACUGUUCUUCUAUACUUUUUCCAACAUGAAAUUCUGUUCUGCCCUGUUAAUAUCUGAAGUUUGGCUUUAGGUUACAUUUUUGGAAAGAACAAUUUAAAGACUUGCAGCACCAUGUUAGAGCCUUUGUCAUCACAAAACUAUUUUGUUGGCUUGUUCAUAUGUGUUCAUGAUCCUUUAAGGACUUUGAUUCAGAGAGGCCUUAAUGGAAAGGCAGCAACAUUUUCAUUACCUUUUGUAGAUGAGCUGAAAACUAUCUGUUGACUUCUGUUGGGAUAAAAGAUUGCUGAAAUGGCAUGCUUUUUGUUUUGGAUUUUUUUUCAUUGCAGAACUAUUUGGCAAUGUACAGUAAUCUGUAAACUUGCAUCAAGUUUAUGAUUAAAGAACCAUUUUAAGAAAUAA